GACGAACGCUGGCGGCGUGCUUAACACAUGCAAGUCGAACGGAAAGGCCCCUUUGGGGGUACUCGAGUGGCGAACGGGUGAGUAACACGUGCGUAACCUGCCCUUGACUUCGGGAUAACUUCAGGAAACUGGGGCUAAUACCGGAUAGGAAUCCUUGCUGCAUGGUGGGGGUUGGAAAGCUUCGGCGGUUUUGGAUGGACUCGCGGCUUAUCAGCUUGUUGGGGGGGUAGUGGCUUACCAAGGCUUUGACGGGUAGCCGGCCUGAGAGGGCGACCGGCCACAUUGGGACUGAGAUACGGCCCAGGCUCCUACGGGAGGCAGCAGUGGGGAAUAUUGAACAAUGGGCGGAAGCCUGAUGCAGCAACGCCGCGUGCGGGAUGACGGCCUUCGGGUUGUAAACCGCUUUCAGCAGGGGCGAAGCUUGUGGUGACGGUACCUGCAGAAGAAGCACCGGCUAACUACGUG
rnacentral:rRNA from 1 species